rnacentral:rRNA from 1 species
UACAGAGGUCUCAAGCGUUGUUCGGAAUCACUGGGCGUAAAGGGUGUGUAGGCGGCGUGAAAAGUCAGAUGUGAAAUCUGGGGGCUCAACCUUCAAAUAGCAUCCGAUACUGUCAUGCUGGAGGUCUGUAGAGGAGUCUGGAAUUCUCGGUGUAGCAGUGAAAUGCGUAGAGAUCAUGAGGAAGACCAGUGGCGAAGGCGGGUCUCUGGACAGUUCCUGACACUGAGGCACGAAGGCCAGGGGAGCAAACGGG